rnacentral:rRNA from 1 species
AGUGAACGCUGGCGGUAGGCCUAACACAUGCAAGUCGAACGGCAGCACAGUAAGAGCUUGCUCUUACGGGUGGCGAGUGGCGGACGGGUGAGGAAUACAUCGGAAUCUACUUUUUCGUGGGGGAUAACGUAGGGAAACUUACGCUAAUACCGCAUACGACCUACGGGUGAAAGCAGGGGAUCUUCGGACCUUUCGCGAUUGAAUGAGCCGAUGUCGGAUUAGCUAGUUGGCGGGGUAAAGGCCGACCAAGGCGACGAUCCGUAGCUGGUCUGAGAGGAUGAUCAGCCACACUGGAACUGAGCCACGGUCCAGACUACUACGGGAGGCAGCAGUGGGGAAUAUUGGACAAUGGGCGCAAGCCUGAUCCAGCCAUACCGCGUGGGUGAAGAAGGCCUUCGGGUUGUAAAGCCCUUUUGUUGGGAAAGAAAAGCAGAAGGUUAAUACCCCGCUGUUCUGACGGUACCCAAAGAAUAAGCACCGGCUAACUUCGUG